rnacentral:rRNA from 1 species
CAAUAGCGUAUAUUUAAGUUGUUGCAGUUAAAAAGCUCGUAGUUGGAUUUCGGAUGGGAUUUGCCGGUCCGUCGUUACGAUGUGCACUGGCCAGUCCUAUCUUGUUGUCGGGGACUAGCUCCUUGGAUUCACUUCCUGGGACUAGGAGCUGACGAGGUUACUUUGAGUAAAUUAGAGUGUUCAAAGCAAGCCUACGCUCUGAAUACAUUAGCAUGGAAUAACGCGAUAGGACUCUGGUCUUAUUGUGUUGGUCUUCGAGACCGGAGUAAUGAUUAAGAGGGACAGUUGGGGGCAUUCGUAUUUCAUUGUCAGAGGUGAAAUUCUUGGAUUUAUGAAAGACGAACUUCUGCGAAAGCAUUUGCCAAGGAUGUUUUCAUUA